UACGAAGGGGGCCAGCGUUGCUCGGAAUCACUGGGCGUAAAGGGUGCGUAGGCGGGUCUUUAAGUCAGGGGUGAAAUCCUGGAGCUCAACUCCAGAACUGCCUUUGAUACUGAGGAUCUUGAGUUCGGGAGAGGUGAGUGGAACUGCGAGUGUAGAGGUGAAAUUCGUAGAUAUUCGCAAGAACACCAGUGGCGAAGGCGGCUCACUGGCCCGUAACUGACGCUGAGGCACGAAAGCGUGGGGAGCAAACAGG
rnacentral:rRNA from 1 species